CAGUGAAUAGGGUUUUGUUUUGUAACCCUAAACCAACGUAGAAUUUACAUAUUUAUAGACUUUAAAAUUCUAAACCCUAAUCCUUAUACAACUCGGCCCAUUGAACAACCUAGGUUUAACAGUGCUGGCUACAUCCGUGUAAAUAAAACCCUAAUAUAACUAUAUGUGUGCCUCCCUAAAACAAAUAAAUUCAAUUAACUUAAUUCAAUUAAAACAACUAAAUUACAUCAGUCAAAUAAUUAUCUAUAAAUAAAUCAAUUCAAUUAAAAGAAGUAAAUAAUUAAAGACCAUUAAAUCACCACAAUGAAAACAAUUACAAUUAACACAUGAUCACGUCAACAAUUAAUACAAAUAGAAACAAAAGGUCAGUUACAUAAAAAAAAAAAAAAAACAAAUAAACAAUUAAAUAAAAAUAAAUGCUAUUAGAACACUUUAAUAAAUACCAGAACUAUCCUUUUGAAAUAAGGGGUAUUACAACUAACUAAUAACUAUAAAUUUAUCACUACCAACAAAUAAUUGUGCAUAUGUACAGUGUGCAUAAAACAACUAACUAAUAAGUAUAAAUUUAUCACCACCAAUAAAUAAUUAUGCGUUUAUGCAGUGUGCUUAAGACAAUUAACUAAUAAUAACUAUAAAUUUUUAUCACCACCAAUAAAUAAUUGUGCGCAUGUACAGUGUGCAUAAGAUAGCUAACUAAUAAUAAUAAAUUUAUCAAUUAAAGAGUGAAAAUUUUUCAUAGGUACAAAAUAAAAAAUGAAGAGAACAAAAAACUGCAGCUUCUUUUACAUUCAUUGUUUAUAUAGCCACUAAAAUUUGAUGACUACAGAUGACAAACAUUUGUGAGGAUGAGGUGACUAUAUAUAUAUAUAUAUAUAUAUAUAUAUGAGGCUGAACUUGUAGUACUGAAGAAGUAGUGGGACUUUUAGGUUAUAUGUGGCAUCCACUAUCAAAUAUAGUUUUGUCUUUCACUCUUUAUAUCAACUACAAUACACUUUGUGUGUGUAUUUUUGGGGAGUCAAUUACCGCAGUGAUUGAUUGAUCAUUGCUACAGAAGACCUGUGCAAAUUAAUAGAAAAAAACCAUUAACUUUUGUUUUGUUAAAGCCUGAUCUUGAUUUCCUUGUGUUUGUACAUUCUGAUGGCAAGUGCUUUGACAGUAUUAUUAACUGAAAUUCUAGCUGAGCCAACUUCAAAUAACAUCAAUAAUGGUGGUAUGUAUCUUCAUAUAAAAAUAAAAAUAAAAAUAAAACCCUUAAUUUGGCACUUUCAAGUAUGAGCAUAAUUUAGAGAUUGAAAAGGUUAAUUAUUACCUCAACCCACUAGAAAGGAUUCUUAAUUUUCGUGGGAUUGAAUGUGAAAAUGCAAAAAAUUCAUAGUUAUCAAAAUCGCGAUUCUAAGUUGUAGAAUCGCACGAUUCUACGACUCAGAACUCAAAAUCGACUCAAAUCGCAGCAGAAUCGCUUAAUUGGUAGAAUCGGGGGUAGAAUCGUAGAAUCGUACGAUUCUAUACAAUUCUACCGAUUCUAUCAAAAAUGGGUGUUUGGGGCCUUUGGGAGGGCCUUUAUAAUAUUUGGUCUUUGGGCCUUAAUUGUAUUAGUUGUUUGGGCAGGUCUGGCCCAAAACUUACCAAAUUAUAUGUUUUAUUAUUUAUUUUAUAAAUUAUAAAAUAUAAAGUAACAAAACCAAAACAGAAAACCCUACUCUAUUAUAGACUUAGAAACGGGAAGUCAAGACUCAAGAGUGGGGAGUGAGGAGUGAGGACUGAGAGGAGGCGGCAGUGCAGAGGCCUCUAUAGAGCAGAUCGGAUCCAUUCCAUACAGCAGCAGGUUCGGCGGCUCGGUCAGGUGCAUUCAAAAAGGAAAAACCGGUUGCAACAAAAAAAACUGAAUGAUUUGGUAUUUGUUAUGUAUAACAUAAAAUUGAGGGAGAGGCACGUGAAAAGACAAGCCGUCGUAGAACCAAUUUGUUUCUUCCGAUGUUUCUUUCGAUGAUGAAUGAAUUACCGAAAAAAAGGAUCUGGUUCUUCCAACAAAAACUAAAUGGUUAAGGGUUCUUGAUGACAAAGUUCAAGAAGAUGAUAUCGAUGAAGAAGAUGAAGUAAAAAGGAUGACUAGGACACUUGAGGAAAUUUAUGCAAUUGAUGAUAAUGAAGACAUGGAGCCAUUAAAUCCCGUUGAUGAUGCUAAUGAGGAAGAUGGUGAUGAUGAAGAGUUCAAUGAUGACUUUAUGGAUAUGUAAUUUUAGUUUUUAACUUUAAAGAUGGAUGAGUUAGAACUCUAUGUUAUUUUGAGCUACAUUCUCUUUUAUUUAUAUUCGGACUUUGGAAUAUUGUUAGGAUUUGAGAUUUGUGGACUCAUGGAUAUGUAAUAUUGUGUGUUUUGGCCUUAUUUUGAUUAUAUUUUACAGAUCUUAUUG